AAUUUGAAAUCUGGCUUCGGCCCGAGUUGUAAUUUGUAGAGGAAGCUUUUGGCGAGGCACCGACUGAGUCCCCUGGAACGGGGCGCCAUAGAGGGUGAGAGCCCCGUAUAGUCGGACGCUGAGCCUCUGUAAAGCUCCUUCGACGAGUCGAGUAGUUUGGGAAUGCUGCUCAAAAUGGGAGGUAAAUUUCUUCUAAAGCUAAAUAUUGGCCAGAGACCGAUAGCGCACAAGUAGAGUGAUCGAAAGAUGAAAAGCACUUUGAAAAGAGGGUUAAAUAGCACGUGAAAUUGUUGAAAGGGAAGCGCUUGUGACCAGACUUGCGCCUGGCCGAUCAUCCGGGGUUCUCCCCGGUGCACUCGGCCAGGCUCAGGCCAGCAUCGGUUCUCUUGGGGGGACAAAGGUCCCGGGAACGUAG
rnacentral:rRNA from 1 species